AGUGAACGCUGGCGGUAGGCCUAACACAUGCAAGUCGAACGGCAGCACAGUAAGAGCUUGCUCUUACGGGUGGCGAGUGGCGGACGGGUGAGGAAUACAUCGGAAUCUACUUUUUCGUGGGGGAUAACGUAGGGAAACUUACGCUAAUACCGCAUACGACCUACGGGUGAAAGCAGGGGAUCUUCGGACCUUGCGCGAUUGAAUGAGCCGAUGUCGGAGUAGCUAGUUGGCGGGGUAAAGGCCCACCAAGGCGACGAUCCGUAGCUGGUCUGAGAGGAGGAUCAGCCACAGUGGAACUGAGACACGGUCCAGACUCCGACGGGAGGCAGCAGUGGGGAAUAUUGGACAAUGGGCGCAAGCCUGAUCCAGCCAUACCGCGUGGGUGAAGAAGGCCUUCGGGUUGUAAAGCCCUUUUGUUGGGAAAGAAAAGCAGCAGGUUAAUACCCCGCUGUUCUGACGGUACCCAAAGAAUAAGCACCGGCUAACUUCGU
rnacentral:rRNA from 1 species